rnacentral:rRNA from 1 species
AUUGAACGCUGGCGGCAUGCUUUACACAUGCAAGUCGAACGGUAACAGGUUAAGCUGACGAGUGGCGAACGGGUGAGUAAUGCAUCGGAACGUGCCCGAUCGUGGGGGAUAACGCAGCGAAAGCUGCGCUAAUACCGCAUACGAUCUGAGGAUGAAAGCGGGGGACCGUAAGGCCUCGCGCGAUCGGAGCGGCCGAUGUCAGAUUAGGUAGUUGGUGGGGUAAAGGCCUACCAAGCCGACGAUCUGUAGCUGGUCUGAGAGGACGACCAGCCACACUGGGACUGAGACACGGCCCAGACUCCUACGGGAGGCAGCAGUGGGGAAUUUUGGACAAUGGGCGCAAGCCUGAUCCAGCAAUGCCGCGUGCAGGAAGAAGGCCUUCGGGUUGUAAACUGCUUUUGUACGGAGCGAAAAGGCUCUCUCUAAUACAGGGGGCUCAUGACGGUACCGUAAGAAUAAGCACCGGCUAACUACGUGCCAGCCGCCGCGGUAA